rnacentral:rRNA from 1 species
GACGAACGCUGGCGGCGUGCUUAACACAUGCAAGUCGAACGGAAAGGCCCUGCUUACAGGGUACUCGAGUGGCGAACGGGUGAGUAACACGUGGGUGAUCUGCCCUGCACUUCGGGAUAAGCCUGGGAAACUGGGUCUAAUACCGGAUAGGAGCCAUUUUUAGUGUGAUGGUUGGAAAGUUUUUUCGGUGUAGGAUGAGCUCGCGGCCUAUCAGCUUGUUGGUGGGGUAAUGGCCUACCAAGGCGGCGACGGGUAGCCGGCCUGAGAGGGUGGACGGCCACAUUGGGACUGAGAUACGGCCCAGACUCCUACGGGAGGCAGCAGUGGGGAAUAUUGCACAAUGGGCGCAAGCCUGAUGCAGCGACGCCGCGUGGGGGAUGACGGCCUUCGGGUUGUAAACUCCUUUCGCUAGGGACGAAGCUUUUUGUGACGGUACCUAGAUAAGAAGCACCGGCUAACUACGUG